rnacentral:rRNA from 1 species
UACGUAGGGUGCGAGCGUUGUCCGGAAUUAUUGGGCGUAAAGGGCUCGUAGGCGGUUUGUCGCGUCGGGAGUGAAAUCCACUGGCUUAACUGGUGGCUUGCUUUCGAUACGGGCAGACUGGAGGUAUGCAGGGGAGAACGGAAUUCCUGGUGUAGCGGUGAAAUGCGUAGAUAUCAGGAGGAACACCGGUGGCGAAGGCGGCUAUCUGGACAGAGUCUGACGCUGAGGAGCGAAAGCGUGGGGAGCGAACAGG